rnacentral:rRNA from 1 species
GACGAACGCUGGCGGCGUGCUUAACACAUGCAAGUCGAACGGGCAGGCCCUGUGGGUUUGGGGGGGGUGGGUGAGUGGCGGACGGGUGAGUAACAAGUGAGUAACCUGCCCCUUUCGGCGGGAUUACGGAAAGAGAGGGCUACUAAGACCGGGUAUUCCCUGUGCUCGGUGGGGGGUGGGGAGGAAAGGUGGUUGUGUGUGGGCGGGUGGGGUCGCGGCCUAUCAGCGGGGUGGUGGGGUGCUGGGUCAGCAAGGGUUUGACGGGUAGACGGCCUGAGAGGGUGACCGGUCACAUUGGCACCGAGAUGCGGCCCAGGCUACUACGGGAAGCAGCAGUGGGGAAUAUUGCACAAUGGGCGCCAGCCUGAUGCCGCGACGCAGCGUGAGGGAUGGAGGCCUUGGGGUUGUGAACCUCUUUCGCCCGUGGUCAAGCCGCGACGUGGGUCGUGGUGAGGGUAGUGGGUAAAGAAGCGCCGGCUAACUACGUG